UACGUAGGGGGCUAGCGUUGUCCGGAUUUAUUGGGCGUAAAGAGCGUGUAGGCGGCCAGACAGGUCCGUUGUGAAAACUCGAGGCUCAACCUCGAGACGCCGAUGGAAACCGUCUGGCUAGAGUCCGGAAGAGGAGAGUGGAAUUCCUGGUGUAGCGGUGAAAUGCGCAGAUAUCAGGAAGAACACCCGUGGCUAAGGCGGCUCUCUAGUACGGUACUGACGCUGAGGCGCGAAAGCGUGGGGAGCAAACAGG
rnacentral:rRNA from 1 species